UAAGGAAUAUCGGACAAUGGAGGCAACUCUGAUCCAGCCAUGCCGCGUGAAGGAAUAAGGCCCUACGGGUUGUAAACUUCUUUUAGACGGGACAAAACCCCUUUACGUGUAAAGGGUUGAUGGUACUGUCAGAAUAAGCAUCGGCUAACUUCGUGCCAGCAGCCGCGGUAAUACGAAGGAUGCAAGCGUUAUCCGGAAUUAUUGGGUUUAAAGGGUGCGUAGGCGGACUAAUAAGUCAGUGGUGAAAGCCUGCAGCUUAACUGCAGAAUUGCCAUUGAUACUGUUAGUCUUGAGUACAGUUGAGGUAGGCGGAAUGUGUCAUGUAGCGGUGAAAUGCUUAGAUAUGACACAGAACACCGAUUGCGAAGGCAGCUUGCUAAGCUGUAACUGACGCUGAGGCACGAAAGCGUGGGGAGCAAACA
rnacentral:rRNA from 1 species